GGGAAGAGUCGGAAGUUUAGCUAAUCCAGCGGCUAAUCCAGCAGUACCGGAGACCUAUGCAACGUUGGCGUCGGUCAGGGAAAAUUUGAGCCAAGCUGUAAAAGUGCGGAAACACUACAUCCGAGUGUUCUUUGUAGUAAUUGUGAAAGAACUCGAAAAUUUAUUCGCAAUAAUUGAGUUGUCAGGAUUAGUCGGCUGGACUGGAUUUUUCUUCCACCCCGGUUUCGGUAUCUCACGAGACAUUUUCGGCGGAAAUGAGCAACCUUACACGUCUAACUGUGCCUGUGCUUCAGCAAGCGCGGCUAGCGAGCGAACGAGGUGGGAUAGUUUUUCAUUGCCCCGGGUGUAUGCGGCUCGAGUGGCCAGCCAGCCGCUACCGAACGACGGACAGUUCCGGACCUGAUUACUCAGUUCCUCACACCUUUCAAAUCUCCGCUCAGUGGUCGUUUCCCGACAUGAUAUUCUACAAACUCAACAUCCACUACAAAAGCAGAGGUUGCCUCAACAGCAGAACCAUCUAUUAUCUGACACUAUCUGUUCACGAAAAACGAACCAUCCAAUUUGGACGCAGUUUGGAUGUUCAACUCGACAUAUUCCUCUCUGAUAUUGCUGCUGCUGCCUCGCAACCAAACUUACAUCCGCUGGAGAAAACUGACUCGUCGCUUUUUUUUAUAACGGAAAACGAUGUCGUUAGUGGAUCAGAAUCAGCUUGGCGACAACUUAACGAUUAAAUUCAAUUCGGACGUAACACUAUACAGUAGAAGUUGCUUAAACCAGCAUCAAAAUACCUUCUUGGUACCACGGACCUACCACGCAGAAAAAUUCUUCCGGUGAAGAACCUAAACGGAAAAUUACGACAUCCUCUUGGCCCGGCGAUGUAUUUUUUCGAAACUGAUUUUGUGUCGGGUAUUCGGUUCCAAAACCAGG